UCGAGUAGUUUGGGAAUGCUGCUCUAAAUGGGAGGUAAAUUUCUUCUAAAGCUAAAUACCGGCCAGAGACCGAUAGCGCACAAGUAGAGUGAUCGAAAGAUGAAAAGCACUUUGAAAAGAGGGUUAAAUAGCACGUGAAAUUGUUGAAAGGGAAGCGUUUGCGACCAGACUUUUUCCAGGCGGAUCAUCCGGCGUUCUCGCCGGUGCACUCCGCCUGGUUGAGGCCCGUCUCGGUUUCCUUAGGGGGAUAAAGGCCUGGGGAACGUAGCUCCUUCGGGAGUGUUAUAGCCCCUGGCGUAAUACCCCUCGGGGGACCGAGGAACGC
rnacentral:rRNA from 1 species